AAACGACUCUCGGCAACGGAUAUCCCGGCUCUCGCAUCGAUGAAGAACGUAGCGAAAUGCGAUACUUGGUGUGAAUUGCAGAAUCCCGUGAACCAUCGAGUCUUUGAACGCAAGUUGCGCCCGAGGCCACUAAGCUAAGGGCACAUCUGCCUGGGUGUCACGC
rnacentral:rRNA from 1 species